rnacentral:rRNA from 1 species
GACGUAGGGCGCGAGCGUUGUCCGGAUUUAUUGGGCGUAAAGAGCUCGUAGGCGGCUUGUUGCGUCAGCUGUGAAAACCCGCAGCUCAACUGCGGGCUUGCAGCUGAUACGGGCGGGCUGGAGUUCGGUAGGGGAGACUGGAAUUCCUGGUGUAGCGGUGAAAUGCGCAGAUAUCAGGAGGAACACCAAUAGCGAAGGCAGCUCGCUGGGACGUUACUGACACUGAGGCGCGAAAGCGUGGGGAGCGAACAGG